UUCCGGUUGAUCCUGCCGGAGGCCACUGCUAUCGGGGUCCGACUAAGCCAUGCGAGUCAUGGGGCUCCCUUUUGGGAGCACCGGCGAACGGCUCAGUAACACGUGGCUAACCUACCCUCGGGUGGGGGAUAACCUCGGGAAACUGAGGCUAAUCCCCCAUAGGGGAGGAGGUCUGGAAUGAUCCCUCCCCGAAAGGCGUAAGCCGCCCGAGGAUGGGGCUGCGGCGGAUUAGGUAGUUGGUGGGGUAAUGGCCCACCAAGCCUACGAUCCGUACGGGCCCUGAGAGGGGGAGCCCGGAGAUGGACACUGAGACACGGGUCCAGGCCCUACGGGCCGCAGCAGGCGCGAAACCUCCGCAAUGCGCGAAAGCGCGACGGGGGGACCCCGAGUGCCCUGCCUCUGGCAGGGCUUUUCCGGAGUGUAAACAGCUCCGGGAAUAAGGGCUGGGCAAGCCCGGUGCCAGCAGCCGCGGUAAUACCGGCGGCCCAAGUGGUGGCCACUGUUAUUGGGCCUAAAGCGUCCGUAGCCGGCCCGGUAAGUCUCUGCUUAAAUCCCGCGGCUUAACCGCGGGGCUGGCAGAGAUACUGCCGGGCUUGGGACCGGGAGAGGCCGGGGGUACCCCAGGGGUAGCGGUGAAAUGCGUUGAUCCCUGGGGGACCACCUGUGGCGAAGGCGCCCGGCUGGAACGGGUCCGACGGUGAGGGACGAAGGCCGGGGGAGCAAACCGGAUUAGAUACCCGGGUAGUCCCGGCUGUAAACUCUGCGGACUAGGUGUCGCGUGCCCUUCGGGGGCACGCGGUGCCGAAGGGAAGCCGUUAAGUCCGCCGCCUGGGGAGUACGGUCGCAAGACUGAAACCUAAAGGAAUUGGCGGGGGAGCACUACAACGGGUGGAGCCUGCGGUUUAAUUGGAUUCAACGCCGGG
rnacentral:rRNA from 1 species